GCUCAAGACACGCACCGAAGCUUAGGGUGUGAUCUUACGAUCACGCGGUAGCGGAGCGUUCCGUACGCCUGUGAAGCGAUCUGGUAAUGGGUCGUGGAGGUAUCGGAAGUGCGAAUGCAGACAUGAGUAGCGAUAAAGAGGGUGAGAUGCCCUCUCGCCGAAAGACCAAGGGUUCCUGCGCAAGGCUAAUCCGCGCAGGGUGAGCCGGCCCCUAAGACGAGCCCGAAGGGGGUAGUCGAUGGGAACCACGUUAAUAUUCGUGGGCCUGGUGGUGUGUGACGGAUGGUGUGUGUUGUCUGACCUUAUCGGAUUGGUCAGGCUUCGAAACUGUCCCAGGAAAUAGCCCCACCGUAUAGACCGUACCCGAAACCGACACAGGUGGUCUGGUAGAGUAUACCAAGGCGCUUGAGAGAAGUGUCCUGAAGGAACUCGGCAAAUUGCCUCCGUACCUUCGGAAGAAGGAGGCCCCAUGUAAGCGCAAGCUCUCAUGGGGGGCACAGGCCAGGGGGUAGCGACUGUUUAGCAAAAACACAGGGCUCUGCUAAGUCGGCUUCAAGACGACGUAUAGGGCCUGACGCCUGCCCGGUGCCUGAAGGUUAAGUGGAGGAGUGCAAGCUCUGAAAUGAAGCCCAGGUAAACGGCGGCCGUAACUAUAACGGUCCUAAGGUAGCGAAAUUCCUUGUCGGGUAAGUUCCGACCUGCACGAAUGGCGUAACGACUUCCCCACUGUCUCCAGGAC
rnacentral:rRNA from 2 species